rnacentral:lncRNA from 1 species
CUGAAUUGCACUGGAUCAAGCCACAAAUUUGGCAUUGUCUGUAGGGCCAUAAUCUUUUUAAAAGCUAUUAAAAACCUAUGCCAAGGAAACGUUCCUCAGACUCAUGGUAAUAAUAUCGCUUGAGAUGUGUUGACGUGGGAGAUGCUAUGCGACUAGUUGUUAACACCUUUCAAUAAACAUACAGAGCAAAUAUUACCUGUGGUUUUCAGCUCCCAGUUACUGCCCGAUCCUGUGGUCUCCGGAGAUAGGCACGGGCAAGAAACAAAGUGCCCAUGUCGAAAGUAAGCAAACUGCCUUCACUCUCACAUUUCAGACAGCAUCCUCCUCAGGGUGUAGUGGGAUCUAUCAACCUGUAGCACAGUGAAGUGGAGGGGAAUAAAAUAGUCUUGGCUGGAUUUUUUUGGCUGUUUCAAUGAAAAAAGCAAGCAAGAUAACACAUGUAGGAAAAUUAUAGUUGAGGACUGCAGACUUCUCACUCAGCCUUAUCAUGGGAAGGCAGGAGAGCAGCAUUUCCUAGAUGGGAAAUUAGGUCUAUGCCGGGAGAUAUCAGGCUUACAUGAAAUUACCCGAGAACUACGGUGUACACCCCAGCCACCUCAGCACAGCCCAGUGGAACAAUCUGUCUGGGCUUGCUACACUCAGAGCUGGCUGUAAUCAUGCCAACCUAGACCUGCAGGAGAAGCAAGCCUGGGAGUGAAAAAGGGAACAGACUAUUUCCAAAGCCGAGCACAUUCACUGGAUCUUUGCAGGCAGUUUCAGAGUUCUGGCAGAAUGGAAGAAGUAUAAAGAGAAUGGUUCACUGCUUCUCGGGUAUACACUAUCUUGUGAGAAUUUAUGGGUCGUGCUUGAGAACAGUGCCUGCAUGGCAAUUCUUGCAGCAUCUUGACUGCUGUAUAUCAUCCCAUUUUCUUAUUUGCCACAGUAUAAAUCAGCUUUGCAAAUCGCCACUCACGCAGGCACUCAGUUAAGAAUAACAGCUUUAGGAUCAGUGCGGAAUGUGGAUAGAGAAAUUUCAGAAUAAACUCGGGAGAUCUGUGAGGAGGCUGCUGGGUAUUGCAGCAGAGCGAGUUGGAGCCCUUGGUCUUCAGAACAUCCACAGACCUGUGACGUCCUCUAAUCCAGCUUGUGAGGAACAGAAGAACACCUGUCAUUCCAGAGUCAGAGAGACACUCUAGGCUUCAAGUGAAGCGAGGAAAAGGAGGCGACAUAAAAGGAUUUUGAACGACAGAGACAAGACAAGACACUGGCCAAAAAGAUCUUUAUCAUCAGCUACUAAUGGACUACAGUUGGAAGUGUUAUGCCAAUCCAUGUGGAGACUGGCUCUUUUUUUGUCAUCGCAUAAUUUUCACUCUUGUUACAGUAGCUUAUUUAUUAUAUGUUUACCUUGAUCCACUUUCUUCCUACUGCUGGAUGCUAGAAUGAUCAUGUCCCCUCCCUUUUCCUUAACUUCCUUCCCUCUUUUCCUUCGUUUUACAAAAAUAAUCUCUGCUACGUACACUAUGCUAACAUUUAUUAUAGUAAUAACUAAGAUGUGUUCCCUGCCUCGACAGAGUUCUCAGACUGUGUGUUGAGAUCAUAGGUUAACAUCUGUCUUCACCUAAUAGAUCCUGAGUACUCAUCAUUUGCUGUGUUUCAGCUGUUCACCAUCUAAAAUAUGAAUCUAAUGCUGAACACGUGGCUCAUGCUGCAGAGAGUUAUGUGCUUAUGGGCAGAAACUUCACCCCUGACCUUCAGACGAAAAUGACUGUUCCAAUCGAUGUAGUGUGUAUAGCUCAUGAUGUUUUACAGUAGAAUUCACUUGGAACAGAGGUACUGAGAGAUUUGGAUAAUGGCCGCAUGUCAAUUUAGUGAUAAAACCAGAGAAAUUCAUGAUGAACCUUUAAGUGAGAGGACAUGAUUUUUCUUGCAGCACAGCUGAAUCCUUGCUAUUAUAAGAAACUUUAGGGUGAAAUUUUCUAGAAUUACGCAAAACAUAUUGAACUACUAUUGCAAUAGUAUGAAGUAUGAUGUCAAACCCAUACUGGGAUAGGAUACACGCUCAGGCAUAAAAUAUAUUGUAUUUCAAGUUGAACUUCGUGACAGCUGAAUAAGAGGUAUGGUAUUGCCUUUUAAUGAGCUA